GGCAAGGUGGCCGAGUGGUUAAGGCGCUAGAUUUAGGCGAUAUUCGCCGCUCUCUAGUGGGAAACCGCGCGAGUUCGAAUCUCGUCCUUGUCA
rfam:Thielavia terrestris NRRL 8126 chromosome 4, complete sequence.